ensembl:antisense Egfros epidermal growth factor receptor, opposite strand
GUCUUGCUUCAGUGCCGUCCCUGACACAGGAUUUGCUUCCAGCCGGCAGCUAGCAUUGCCACUUCAGAGAAAGGCCCUUGUUUUUUAUUUAUUUAUUUUCAGGAUCGCGAGGCUCUAUCCCAACAGCAAAAUUUGCUUAAAGCCAAUUACCUGGGAACCCAUGCCAACACUGACAGAUCUUUCAUUCCCCUAGAUAUACAUUUUUUUUUUUUUCUAGCGAGAACCUUUGCGUAGUCUUUCGGAGAGAGUGUGAGCACAUGCAGAAUUACACUGGUUUGGAGCACGGUGUGUUGGUCACUAUCCAAUGAAGGCAAAACCUCCAGAACUUCAGGAAGGGGUUGUGAAAAAAACUCACCACCCUAGAGCUUUGCCUGUCUCAGACAGCAAGAAUCCUCACAAACAACCUGGAGAGUAGAGGCCACAGAGGACAGACACAGUUACGAGAGAAAGCAGCGGAGAGGUUUCUGUUCUGGGUGAGCCAAUACAUUUCCCCUUCCCAAGUGUGGUCCUUUUGUUUUCCCUAGUCCCCGAGAUGACAGCGUUUCACAGCUUCCCUGAAGUUAAACAGCCUAGAAUAGAACAUUCCGUUUAAGUGGGCGGCCCAAUGCUGUUUCUUUCAUGAAGAAGCAGAAGAAAUGAACAGAGGUUCCAUAGACAGACCAUGUGAUAUUCCCACCAUACGUGUGAAGUUCCAGUUCACUGCUGCUGGGUAUUAGCUAUGAACACACUGAUACAGUCUGGCCUGCGUCACAGGAAGGCCCGUCAUUACAGAGUAGCCCAAAAGUAACAAGACAGAGGUAUGAUGGUGACAGUGAGAACAUUUCACAUAAGCUCAGAAUGAGAGGGACGGGGGCUGAGAGUGAGGAGAUCUGAAAUCCUGUGGUACUUACUGAGUCUCAAAUUAGCUUGCUUUGCUCUAUUGUUGAAGAACAGGGAGAAAUAAAGAUCUGCUUUUCUCUAGUGCAUGCUCUCUCUCUCUCUCUCUCUCUCUCUCUCUCUCUCUCUCUCUGUGUGUGUGUGUGUGUGUGUGCAUGUGUAGCUAUGUCUGUAUAUGUGUCCCUAUGUUUACAUGUGACCCUUUGAGAUGGGUGCUAGUUCUUCCAUUGUACAAAUUAGGAAAUGGAGGCUCACUCACACAGCUGUCCUGUGCUAGGAGAUAUGCGUGUAACAGUUUCUUGUUGAAGGAUGAGCCAAACUGCUUCCGUGUGACGAAUCCUCUUCAGUGUGGCCAUAUGUAAGACAGAACCUCAAUGACUGGUACCAUCGCUGGACAUUAGUUAUGUAGCCUCUCCCCUUUAGUCUUCAGAACCACCUAGCAUCAUUCUGCUUUAGGGGAAAGGUGGUUUGCACUUGAGAAAGGGCAGAUGACUAGAACUGGCAACUCUAGCCACAUAGGAGGAGAGGUAACAGUGGGGCAAAGGGCCUGUCAUAUUUUGUGGGGCCUGAAGCUUGUGCAACAGGAGAUAAACAGAGGGAAGUAAUAGUGGAUUAUAGAAUCAAGGUGCACAGUAUAAAUGUAUGAAAUUUUCAAUGAAUUAGUAAAAAUAAUCUUCAAAACUUGUUUAUUUUGAGGUCAUGUUAAGGAUCCUAGCCUUGGACACAGAAAUGAAAGAACUCAGAGGCACAAGCUUCUUUAGCUGCUCAGCGUCCAUGUGUGCUCUGCCUUCAAAGAUAAGCCUCCCCCAUCCCCCUCUCUCCCACCCCUUCUCUCUGUCUCUUACUCCUCUAUCCCUCCCUCCCUUCUUCCCUUACACUGUCUCAUUAGAAGGAGAACACAGAUAAAGAACCCAGAGAUAAACCUGCCAUUUUAUACUAUUUACUGAGUCAUAAACUUUAACUCAGCACACAUUUCAUUUCUAAGUUUUUCUUCUUUCUUUUCAGCAGAAUCUAGUCAACUAAAUCCCUGAAGCUUGUUUCUCCUCAGCUGAUAAGCAUGAUGGAAGGCACAGAGCCAGAUGUUCAGGGGAGGAGAGGCACCGUGGCCAUGACCACACCAUCUUUCCCGCCAGAAGGUGACAGUCCUCAGUUACCAAGAACAUAAGACAUUCCUGGCACGUCUACACACCCAAAAGCCCAGAGAUGCCUAAGGAGCUCAUGUCAUUCAUUCAGGUGACUCAAUUCAUGUGUCAAAGACCGUCUUCCACCUGGAAGAAAGUUGCGAAAGGACAUGAACAACAAGCUGGUAUUUUCACCCAUCACAAUCUCAUGGGCACUAAGACAGGGCUCGUGGGCUCUCCCUCAAAACUCCCAGAGUUACUUUGGGCACUUCAUUUCAGUCUUUCAAAGCAGAAUUCCCAUUGAUAUGAAUCAUGGUUUAAGAUGUCCGAAGAUGCUUCUGCUAGAUUCUUCUGUGCUUUUCUCAUUUUCCAAAAAUAAUUGCUCCACUUGCCAAAGAGUAGGAUCUGGCCAGAUCCUGUGAAAUGAACCUCAGUUAAAAACCCGUGAUUCUACAGCAAUGAAGAUGGACGGGAACACACCGAAAGCACUCUAUAUUUCUUUUCACCUUCAUUUUCUUCAAACUGAUCCAAGAUGAGCACAUGCGUGUGAAGCCUGAAAGUCUGGAUGUGGCCAUCAUAUUAGAACGAUAAAAGAAAACUAGCACUGCCCCUAUUCGCAGUACACACUCUGGGUACACGGUCAGGCCCUACAUGUACUUAUGGCUUCCUGGUCUGUAACCCUUAGUCUACUGGGUAAGCAUUCUCCCAAAAGUAGUGUGCUCACUGUCCAGAUAAGUGGGCUGUGCUCGCUUUCUGGUGACUGCACAUCCUCAUGGGAUGUGCUCGUCUCCCAAAUGACUCCUCCACAUCUGCGGAUACACCUACAUAGGCAGUUGCCUGCAACCCACUGCUCAGGAAGGGCUGACAAAGCAAGCCGCAGGAGCUUGGCAUCUGCGCAAGGCAGCUGCCUCUUAUGACUGACUGGGCUCUCUCCUGAGGAUAAAGAGCUGGAUGCUGGGUUAAGCCAAUUCAUUUUUCUCCCUGUAAGUCAGUGGAAACUUCUUUCCACGGAUUCAUUUCCAAAUGAAGGAAUGUUAUCACCAGAUGUCACUCCUUCAGGAUAAACAUAUUCUUCAUAAUAGGGAAAAGUGGACCUCAUGGAGCCGAUCUUGGUUCUGUAGAAUAGGUUUUAUUUUUUUAUGUCUAACAUGAGUUGCACUGCGGGUUUUUGGUAGAUAUACUUCCUGUCUCACACAUGGUUUUGCCAUCAUUUUUAAUAGAACUGAUAUUUUAUAAAGCCAUCUGCUUCAUGUCCAUUGGCACUUCUGCACCUCCAAGGCCUCGACAACUCCCAGAGCUACCACAGCCUUCAAGACAAGAUGGGGGAGACAAAGGACCGAUCUUAACCCCAUCCCCGUUCCCACCCACAGGAUGGACAAGUACAGCACCACCUUAGGGAAGAUGUACAGAGAAUUGCACUCAUUUCUCCUACUCCCUAAACCAAGAAGACAGCACUAGCUUCCAGCUCAGAGUUUCUAUUAAAGUUUAAACUGAGGGACUAGAGAGAUGGCUGAGUGGUUAAGAGCAAGGACUACGCUUCCAGAGGUCCUGAGUUCAAUUCCCAUCAACCACACGGUGGCUGACAACUAUCUAUAAUGGGAUUCAAUGCCUUCUUUUGGUCUGUGUCUGAGACAGCUACAGUGUACUUAUAUAGAUAAAAUUAAUUAAUUAUUUUUAAAAAAUCAAAAUUGGGAAAAACACAGCAUUUAAAAGUUACUUGGUCUUAUUAUUGUUGUUGUUAUUGUUUAUAGGCCACAGAUAUACUUAGAAAUGACUAUUUCUAAAUAAGAACUUUUACAUCACAGAAGUCCAGGAAAAGUUCAACAGAUGUACAACACAGGAAGGAGAAAAUUUUCCCCUUUGGUUCCCAUGAAUGAGGACUCAAACUUGCAAAAGAGAAACUGACCUAAGAUUUGAACUUACUUGUGGUCUUCUAUGUGAAUAAUGGUGUUUUGCCGUCAAGGCAGGAUAUUGCUCAGGCUAAUAACUCAGAAUGCAGUGGAAUUAAGUAGACCAAUACAACUCCAGUAGAAAACAAUCUUCAUUUUUGAAAAGCAUACAGACCAAUACAAAGACUUUAGAAUUUCAAACAUAGG